rnacentral:rRNA from 1 species
UGGGCUUGACAUGUCCGGACUCCUGCAGAGAUGCGGGAGUGCCCUUCGGGGAAUC